GGGAAUAUAGCUCAUUUAGGUAGAGCAAUCAACUUUUAUUGAUGAACACAGGUUCAAAUCCUGUUAUCCCCG
rnacentral:tRNA from 1 species